GCCAGAGGGCCCUGCCAGAUGCAGCCCCUGAGGUGGCCUGCGGCCCCGAGCGUGAGGACUGAGUGGCCCACGGGCAGCGUCCAGCCCCAGGCCUGCACUCCCACACAGAGGACCUGGCCAGGGGGCGCAGAGGGAGAACAGGGCCCGCGGCCUUCCAAGGUCCAGGAUCUGCACUGAGAAGUGAGGUCAGCCACAGGUGAGGCUGCGUCCUGCUGGGCCACUCGGGUCCAGCGGGCUUCGGCAGGGCCCCUCCGUGGGCCUAGGGCACUGUGGACGCCUGGCCAGCAGAGGGCGCCUGGAGUUGCUCUUGGGUCUGUGUGCAGAGUCCUGUCCAGUCUCUGCCUGGACUCCCACUGGCCUGCCCUGUUCUCCUGGCAGGCAGCUUGGAUGCGUGACUGGCCGGGCCCCCCUACCGUGGUCCCCUGGGCACACAGCUGGUACCCAGUGGGCAGGGGCUCAAGGACAAGGCCUGGCCACCUACCCUUCCCGUCAGCACCCGAGAAGUUGCCAGACACACAGCAAAUCCAGGGACUGGAGAGAGUGUGGGCACAGACGGGCUCUCGGCCUCUGAGCUGGCCUCCGUCCACCCCAGAGUACCCACCUGGCUUGUCUCCUGGGGGGGCCAGCGAGUUCCAGCUCCCUCCCUCUCCUGAGACCAGAGGGACUCCAGGUGGACAGACUCCAGGGGGACAGACUCCAGGGGGACGGACGGCACAGCCUCCUCCAGCGCCCCAGCCUCUUCCCUGCAGCCUCACCUCCAUGUGCAGCUGGAGGCGCCCUGUGAGCUGUCCCCUGGCCCAGGAGGCCAUGCCCCACCCUGACCUGGUCCCCAGGUAUCUCGACUCUGCAGUUCCAGUUUGUCCAGGAGUGGGGGCAGCACCGGGUGACGGAGCAGCUGUGUGGCAAGAGCGUCCACCCAGCACGGGCCGGUGUGCUCUUCAUGACCCUCACAAAAACACAAGAGGGACUCGUGGGGGGACUGGUCGUGAAAUUGGUGGCCAUCCACGAACGAGCGCUCCUGGUCGUGAAAUCGGUGGCCAUCCACGAACGGAGCGCUCCGUGGCCGUGAACGACGAUUUCAGUGUCUUUUUUUUAAUAUUAUUCUUAGUUGUCGGUGGGCCUUUAUUUAUUGAUAUGUGGUGCUGAGAAUCGAACUCAGGGCCUCCCGCGUCCAGGGAAGCGCUCCACACCUGAGCCACAACCCAGCCCUGAUGUGGCUCUGACACGCGAGUCACCGAGACACGGUGUUCAAGGUGACAGCAGAAGCCCGAGGCUGGGCGGAGAGAGGCACACGGGACCCUGGCGCCGCCCAGCACCCUCUGCCAGGGGAGAUGGGGAAGGAGGAGGGGGACUUCCUGUCCAGGGAGCAGAGGUGAGGGUCCUGGAGGGAGGAGAGACCUCAGCAGGGUCAAGGGGACUUUCCGGGUGGCCCUCAAGGAAGAAAGGGACCGUUUCCUUGGAUUGAACCCGGGUGCUCUAUCCCUGAGCCGCGUCCCCCGCCCCCUUCAGCACACUCCACUUGGGGACAGGGCCUCGCCGAGGGGCUGAGGCUGGCUUUGAACCUGUGGCCCUCAGCCCCCGGGGUCUCAGGGGUCACAGGCGUGCCCACCAUGCCGGCCACUGUCGUUUCUGAGGGCUGCAUUGGGGUCCAGUCCGCGUGUGCCACCGUCCGUCAUCUGGUCACCCGUCGGCGUCCACUUCUCUGGAGCCUCUCCUGGGCAGACACCGCGUCCCCACCUCCCUGAGUUCCGGAAAAGGGUCAGUGACCCGCAGGGGCUUGAAGGACCAGACCGUGGCGCACCUCGCCCCCAGGGCCACAGGCGGGUUCACUAGCGCAGCUCGGUGGGCCAGGGGACAUCCACGCUGGUGGCCUCCCCAGGGCCGUCUGGCUUGGUUCCAAAGGUGGCUCUGCUCAGACUCUGAGAAGCAGAUACUGAAACGUGUCAUCGUAGGAUUUGCUUCAGAAGAACGUGUGCUGUCGGGUCAGAACCAGCGGCUGGGGACCGGGGACAGCUGUGGGGACGAGGUGUGUGCCGGGCGCCAGGGCGGCUCCUGAACACCUCCCCCACAGACCUCCUCUGCCCCACGUCGAGGUGGUCCUGCCCCAGGGACGGGCCCGCAGCCCCCAGGCCCACCCCUGGGCCCUGGAGCAGACGGGAAGAGCCAGCUGAGUCCCCAGGGUCCAGUCUCCAAAGAGGAGGGAGACUUCUCCUGACCAGCCGCACCCUGCGCCCCCGGGUGCCCCCUCCCCACGCGUUUCACACAAAGCUUCUGCGGGCGGCCACCGCGGGCCCUCAGCUGCCUGCCCCGCGGCUGCAGAGGGGUCUUUGCACAGCACCCCCCACCGGGCAGCUGCUGGGCGGGGCCUGGCCUGGUGUUGAGCUCUGUGUCUUGGGUACCUCCAAGCUCCGCUGCACCUCGACUCCCGGGGACUCGGGAACAAAAGCCACCGAGCCCUGGAGUGGGACCUGAAGGCCCCCUUUCCCGGGGGCGGACAUUCCGAAACCAUUUGUCAGAGGGUCAGCUUUCCUACAGCUAAUCUCCCCGACAGCUGGGCGGGUGCUGUGUCCAACUGCUUCCCACAGCGGCUGCUGGGAUGGCUGCCCGGGCGGGCCGCAGCUGCUGCAGCGCUGGGGAAGGCCGCCUGGGCCAGGCCGCAGCGCCCCACCCUGCAGCGCCCGCACCCUGGGCUCGGGCCGUGGCCCUGCCUGGGUCGGCCAGCGGGUUGCUGCGGUGUGACAUGCAAGCGGUGCAGAGAUGGCCCUGUGUGGCCUCCUGUGUUCCCCGCCUCGUGGCCAGCAGUGCUUCCCCGAGGACUGAGAGGCCUGCUCACGUGGGAGCGGGGCCUGGCCUGGCCUGGUCCCCACCCCUGCUCUGUCCUGCAGUCGCCUGGCAGAGGGUCCUGGGCCUGCGCCCGGUCCCCGGUGCCUCUCACCCCUUCUGCUUCAAACACAGAACCACCCCCAUCCCGGGGCUGGCUACUGUCACUGAACAUCACGCCUCGGUGACAGACGAUCCCACAUCAUAAGGACAUUUGAAAUCGUCGUUCAUGGCCACGGAGCGCUCCGUUCGUGGAUGGCCACCGAUUUCACGACCAGUCCCCCCACGAGUCCCUCUCGUGUUUCUGUGAGGGACAUGAAGAGCACACCGGCCCGUGCUGCGUGGACGCUCUUGCCACACGGCUGCUCCGUCCCCGGUGCUGCCCCCACUCCUGGAUGCACUCUGAGAGUGCAACUGCAGAGCGAGGUCUUUCACAAUCGCAGGUUCAAGGCUCUGCGUCUGCAGGUCGAGCGGCUGUGUGCAGACCCAAGGCCGCGCGCGCUGCCGUCUGGGUAAACACUGACCCGCCGCCCUCCGCUCCACAGAGAAUGUGCUGGUAAUUUUCCUUCCCCUGGGGCUCUCCCGGGGGGGUCCGCGUUUCACGGUCAGUUCUUGGGAGGCCCCGAGAGCUGGAGGCCCGCGUGGCGCGAGACCAGAGCCGGGGUCCGUGGAGGGCGCCCAGCUCCCACCGGGUGCAGCCGGGGUGGGAGCCCGCGGGCGGCCGAGGUCUGGGCAGACGCGGUGCCCUGGUCUGGGGCGCGGCGUGGGGCCGGGUGGUGUGGAAGGGGGUUGGUGGACGUGAUGAGCAGGCAGGACGGGGAGCAGGAGCCGGGGUCCAGCAAGGUCAGGGCCCUGAGGACACGUGGGCGUCUCCUGAACAAAAUGGCUCGUGGUAUUCACCAGAAGGAGAGCCCGUAGGUGGGACCGGAGCCCUCGGCCCGUCUGCCUGACCCCGCUGGGCCCUGGGCUCUGGGGCCUCCCUCGACCGGUGUGACCUCUGUGGCCUCACGAGAGAUGGGACAGUGGCGCUGUCACUCCUGUGGGCGGGCAGCACCCCUGUUCCCGUCCACCUGCACCUCAGAGGUGUCACCUGCCAGAUGUGAUCAAGGGGACUGGGAUCCAUCGGCACGGCCCAGUCAGGCCCAAGACCCCGAGGGAGUGGCCAGGGGUGACGGAGACGGACGGGACCAGGCGUCCACAGGCCGCGGUGCCAGGCGCUGCCAGCAGGCGGCAGAAGCAGGAGAGGGCAGGGGACAGACUCGCCCUGGGAGGCCACCCUGGGCACCGUGGCGCCUGGGCGCCCUGACUCCACAGCGCCAGCCCCAGGACUGUCCUCCGAGUGGCCCGGCGGGGGCAGGGAGACCGGACAGGAGAGGCCCCCGGCUCACUGCUCUUCCACGAGGCUCUGCCCCCGUCCCAGGCAGUGGAGACCACCUGGGCUGGAGAUGCCUGGGCAGCGGCCUGUGAAGAGGCCUGCGGUGGACCUUGAAUGCCACUAGCGUGGACGCCCUGGCCCCAGACCUCUCCACACCGGCCACUCACCACACCCGGGGCUGCACCGGGCUGCACGGGGCCAGGAGCCACAGUGGAGCCGCAGGAAGGCCCUGGACGGGGUCAGAGCCUGAGGCCUGCCCAGGCCUGCCCGGCUCACGCUGGCCGGAGGGCUUGCUGGGGCAGGGCUGGCCGCCCAGGGGUCCCGGGCCCCUGAGCCUCCGGCAGGUCAUGCAGGGCCGGGGCAAGCGGGCGUGGCCUGGCCGCCCUGGGCUUUACCACCUGGACCAGCGGAGUCACCCUGGCAAAGCACCAGUGUCACGGCUGGACUCGGGGACCUGGGACUCUCGUGGCCUCCAUUAUUUCCUUUGGUUUUAUUUUGUGUUCUGAGACCCACCUUCUCUCUUACUUGGCGACCAUGUGGCCGAGCGCUAGGUACCGUGUGAUAUUCAGGUCCACACACGGAGGCUCCAGUCUGGGUGGCUGGCGCACACAGGACCUCACGUUCACCACUGGGCUGUGGGAAGAGCGUUUUGAAAACAGCGUGGUAUCAUUGGGGGGGGGUUGGAAUCGAACCCACGGACACUUCACCACGGAGCCACCUCCCCAGCCCUUUUUAUUUUUUAUUUUGAGACAGGGUCUUGCUAAGUUGCUGGGACCUCGCUAAAUAGCUGAGGCUGGCCUUGAACUUGCGAUCCUCCUGCCUGAGCCUCCAAGUUGCUGGGAUCACAAGUGCGAGCCCAUCUACUCUUUCUUUUUAAAAGCUGAAUCGUGUUCUGCUGUGUGUCUGCACCACAUUUUAAGUCCAUUCCUCUGCACACGGACACAGGGUCAUUCAGGAGGGGACAGGGGUCCUCUGCUCCCUGCAGUUCUUCUGGGGCUCUUCAGCUAGAGCUGAUUUUGGGGAAAAUAAAUCAAACUUCUAUUA